UUACUCUGAGUUAUAAACACCCCAGAAUGUCAGUGUUUUAAACCAACAAAUGUUUGUUGCUCAUUCUGCAAGUCUGAUGCAGCUAUUUUGAGAUGCCUGGGGAAAGAGAGCGUCUAUUCAGAUACCAUCCUCGCAUCUUGCAGCAGGGAAGGAGGAAUGGGGAGCCGCUCCCUCCUCCGUCUGCCUGGAGAUACCCCGGAUGUUCAUGUUUGUACUUCACUGGCCAGAGACGGUCACGUGGUCACAGUCCUUCAUGGUGGUGGGAAUGUUCUGAAGACGCAGGAUAAUGUGGCCGACCAUGUGAUCACUCCUAAGUUCAACACCACACUGCUUGGACCCGGACCUGUGACGCUGUGGAUGGGUGUGUGCCAGCAGACCAACCUCCUGGAUGUCAGUCUUCAAAUUCCACACAUACUUCAGAAAUUGAUACAAUUACUCUGAAGUUAUUAUGGAGAGGCAAAAGCACAAAAUUAGCAAGGAUGGUCUUAAAGGGCUUGAUUUUGGCAUCCUUAGAAGGAAGCUGCAUUGGGAUUAUUCUGUUGGCGUGAUGGAAUUACAGUCUUGUUUUUCUUCAACCAACCCUUCAUGUCAAGUGGCCACGUUGAGCCUCCAACAGGAGAUGACAAUACAGACAACCCUCAGUAAUUGUGGGAGAAAUAAGGCCUCUCACGUGAAAUGUUGAUAAAACAAGCAAACUUAAGUACCUUGAGCAAUAAAAGCAAUACCACUGUUA